UUUUAUGGGGUCCCAUUGGAUUCCAUGGGGUUCCACUGGAUCUUAUGGGGUUCCAUUGAACUCAUGGGGUUCCAUUGGCUUCCAUGGGGUUCCUUGGGGAUUUUAUGGGGUCCCAUUGGAUCUUAUGGGGUUCCAUGGGAUUUUAUGGGGUUCCAUGGGGUUUUAUGGGGUUCUGUUAGCUUUCAUGGGGUCCCAUGGGAUUUUAUGGGGUUCCAUUGGGUUUAUUGGGGUUCCAUUGGAUUCCAUGGGGUUCCAUUGGGUUUAUUGGGGUUCCAUUGGAUUCCAUGGCGUUCCCUGGGAUUUCAUGGGGUUCCAUUGGAUUUCUUUGGGAUUUUAUGGGGUUCCAUUGGAUUUCAUGGGGUUCCAUUGGAUUUCUUGGGGUUCCUUGAGGAGUUUAUGGGGUCCCAUUGGAUUUUAUGGGGUCCCAUUGAGUUCCAUUGGCUUUCAUAGGGUUUAAUUGAAUUUUAUGGGGUCCCAUUGAAUUCCAUGGGGUUCCAUUGGACUUUAUGGGGUCCCAUUGGACUUUAUGGGGUCCCAUUGGAUCUUACAGGAUUUCAUUGAAUUCUAUGGGGUCCCAUUGAAUUCUAUGGGGUUCCCAUUGGAUCUUAUAGGGUUUCAUUGGAUUCCAUGGGGUUCCUUUGGGUUUUUAUGGGGUCCCAUUGGCUUCCAUGGGGUUCCAUUGGAUCUUAUGGGGUUCCAUUGAACUCAUGGGGUUCCAUUGGCUUCCAUGGGGUUCCUUGGGGAUUUUAUGGGGUCCCAUUGGAUCUUAUGGGGUUCCAUGGGGUUUUAUGGGGUCUCACUGGAUUUUAUGGGGUUCCAUUGAAUUCCAUGGGGUUCCAUUGGACUUUAUGGGGUCCCAUUGUCUUCCAUGGGGUUCCAUUGGAUCUUAUAGGGUUUCAUUGGAUUCCAUGGGGUUCCUUGGGGAUUUUAUGGGGUCCCUUUGGAUUCCAUGGGGCUCCAUUGGAUCUUAUGGGGUUCCAUUGAAUCUUAUAGGGUCCCAUUGGAUUCCAUGGGGUUCCAUUGGAUCUUAUUGGGUUUCAUUGGAUUCCACGGUGUUCCUUGGGGAUUUUAUGGGGUCCCAUUGGAUCUUAUGGGGUCCCAUUGGCUUCCAUGGGGUCCCUCAGGGAUUUCUGUCUCUCCCAAUGGGUCCCCCCACCCCCAUUUCCCCCACAGCCCCCCCCGAGAAGAACCACUCUCCGCCAUUCACAGAGCGCCCAUUGGGCUUUCAUUGGGGUUUCUAUGGGGUUUUAUGGGAUUUCUUGGAGUGCCGUGCAAUUUCUUGGGGUUUCUUUGGGAUUUGAUGGGGUUCCUUGGGGAUUUCAUGGAAUUCCAUGGGCUUCCAUUGGAUUUUAUGGGGUGCCAUUUGAUUUCAUGGGGUUCCAUUGGAUCUUUUGGGGUUUCAUUGGAUUCCAUGGGGUUCCAUUGGAUCUUAUAGGGUUUCAUUGGAUUCCAUGGGGUUCCUUUGGGUUUUUAUGGGGUCCCAUUGGCUUCCAUGGGGUUCCAUUGGAUCUUACGGGGUUCCAUUGAA
ensembl:lncRNA